rnacentral:lncRNA from 1 species
AUCACAUAAAUUUCUAUUCAAUCAUCAGUGAUCAUCUCAAUGCUGCAGUUGUGUGACUGGUCUUUUGACCUGUGGUGUCAUAGUUGCUCGUAGUAAGACUAUGGUAGUUUGACUACACAUAAGCAUUGAUUCAAUUAUGAGUCUUUAUAGUGGAUGUUGGCUGUAGUUGAUUGAAAUAUAAGAGUAAGAAGUGUAUCUAGAUAGGUUCUAUUGAUCUUGAGAGAGAAGAGUAGUCCUAUGAGAUUUGAGAAGCUGAGUCCAUAAGUUUAUGGCCAUAGCAAUGUGAUUGAUGAAAAAGAGUUUCUAUUUAGAAUCACUAUUAGACUUAAGC